GGAAACAGAUGCUAAUACCGCAUAACAACUUGGACCGCAUGGUCCGAGCUUGAAAGAUGGCUUCGGCUAUCACUUUUGGAUGGUCCCGCGGCGUAUUAGCUAGAUGGUGGGGUAACGGCUCACCAUGGCAAUGAUACGUAGCCGACCUGAGAGGGUAAUCGGCCACAUUGGGACUGAGACACGGCCCAAACUCCUACGGGAGGCAGCAGUAGGGAAUCUUCCACAAUGGACGAAAGUCUGAUGGAGCAACGCCGCGUGAGUGAAGAAGGGUUUCGGCUCGUAAAACUCUGUUGUUAAAGAAGAACAUAUCUGAGAGUAACUGUUCAGGUAUUGACGGUAUUUAACCAGAAAGCCACGGCUAACUACGUGCCAGCAGCCGCGGUAAUACGUAGGUGGCAAGCGUUGUCCGGAUUUAUUGGGCGUAAAGCGAGCGCAGGCGGUUUUUUAAGUCUGAUGUGAAAGCCUUCGGCUCAACCGAAGAAGUGCAUCGGAAACUGGGAAACUU
rnacentral:rRNA from 1 species